CGUUUGUGGCCUUAUCCCCUCCUCUCUUUAAUACUAUAAACCCACCAUCCCAAAUGAGUGAGUUGAGUCCUUGCAUCCCUUUGCUCCUCACAGUACUGAGAACAUUUCCUAAUCACUUCCCUCAGACCCUUUGGUCUCUCCCACUCUCUGUCUGAAGUUGGAGGAUGGAAGAUGUGGAUUCCCAUCUGUUCCACUGGGUACCAACCUCCGAACCUGAAGCGGUACCGCAGCAGGAAGACAUGGCAAGAAUUUGGAUUAAAGGCCAAGGGAUCCUUGUACUCCAUGGUGAUUCCCCUUGUGAAGUAUCCUCUUCUUCUUAGUUCCCGGAUGGUGCUAUCCUAGCUGAGCUUUUCUCCCCUCUCUUCUUGUCUAUCCUUCUUCACACCAUGGCUUGCAGGUUAAACUGUUCUUGACCUUGUAAGACCUUUUCUUGACCUUGUAAGGCCAAAUUCUCUAUUUAAUCCCCUCGUCUCCAAACUCCACGUGGAGUGAGUCAAUACGAACUAUAUUCCUAUCUUCGUGCCCUCCUCUUCCCCUCUCCUCCCCUCUAUCCCUCCUGAGCUAUUUUGCUUAUAUUUACUCCACCGUAUGGUUGUCAUCUGUAGCAUGUUACUUGUGCAACUGUGUCGACGAUACUGUGUCUUUGUAUUCGGUGGGGUUUCACAUGUGGUUAAGUCAGUGUAUUAUUCUUCUUGUGACCCAUCGAGGAUAUGGAUCCUUACAGUCCUUUGUUUUGUAUGGCAGUCUGCUAUGAUACAUACCCCAUGUCUUUUGGUAAAGCUCUCCUCAUCAUGUUGAAGUUUUGGAUGCCACCAUAGAUGUGUUUGAUAAGGUGAAAGGCACAAGGAUGCUGAUAAGAUAGCAUGGACUUUCUCACCAGCUUGUCUUUAUUCAGUCUAGCAAGUGGAUGUAUACAUAGCAUAUAACUCCAAGCAUAAAAGACUCCAUGAAAGUUCUAAUA